rfam:Serratia sp. M24T3 contig020, whole genome shotgun sequence.
CGCGUGGUGUCCGGCGGUAACACGGUUGGAUAGCGACGCGGCCUAAACAGAGGU